UCCUUGAACCGCAUGGUUCAGGGAUGAAUCACGGUUUCGGCUGUCACUUACGCAUGGACCCGCGGCGCAAUAACUAGUUGGUGGGGUAAUGGCUCACCACGGCCACUAUGCGUACCCAACCUGAGAGGGUGAUCGGCCACACUGAGACUGAGACCCGACCCAUACUCCUACGGGAGGCGGCAAUAAGGAAUCUUCCGCAAUGGACCAGAGUCUGACGGACCACCGGCGCGUGAAUGAUGAACGUUUUCGGAUCGUAAAGCUCUGUUGUUAAGGAAGAACAGGUGCAAAAGUAACUGCUCGCACCUUGACGGUACCUAACCAAAAAGCCACGGCUAAGUACGUGCCAGCAGCCGCGGUAAUACGUAGGUGGCAAGCGUUGUCCGGAGUUAUUGGGCGUAAAGGGCUCGCAGGCGGUUUCUUAAGUCUGAUGUGAAAGCCCCCGGCUCAACCGGGGAGGGUCAUUGGAAACUGGGAAACUUGAGUGCAGAAGAGGAGAGUGGAAUUCCACGUGUAGCGGUGAAAUGCGUAGAGAUGUGGAGGAACACCAGUGGCGAAGGCGACUCUCUGGUCUGUAACUGACGCUGAGGAGCGAAAGCGUGGGGAGCGAACAGGAUUAGAUACCCUGGUAGUCCACGCCGUAGACGAUGAGUGCUAAGUGUUAGGGGGUUUCCGCCCCUUAGUGCUGCAGCUAACGCAUUAAGCACUCCGCCUGGGGAGUACGGUCGCAAGACUGAAACUCAUAGGAAUUGACGGGGGCCCCCACAAGCGGUGGAGCAUGUGGUUUAAUUGGAAGCAACGCGAAGAACCUUACCAGGUCUUGACAUCCUCUGACAACCCUAGAGAUAGGGCUUUCCCUUCGGGGACAGAGUGACAGGUGGUGCAUGGUUGUCGUCAGCUCGUGUCGUGAGAUGUUGGGUUAAGUCCCGCAACGAGCGCAACCCUUGAUUUUAGUUGCCAGCAUUUAGUUGGGCACUCUAAGGUGACUGCCGGUGACAAACCGGAGGAAGGUGGGGAUGACGUCAAAUCAUCAUGCCCCUUAUGACCUGGGCUACACACGUGCUACAAUGGACAGAACAAAGGGCUGCGAGACCGCAAGGUUUAGCCAAUCCCAUAAAUCUGUUCUCA
rnacentral:rRNA from 1 species